rnacentral:rRNA from 1 species
AUUGAACGCUGGCGGCAUGCCUUACACAUGCAAGUCGAACGGCAGCACGGGGGCAACCCUGGUGGCGAGUGGCGAACGGGUGAGUAAUACAUCGGAACGUGCCCAGUCGUGGGGGAUAACGUAGCGAAAGUUACGCUAAUACCGCAUAUUCUGUGAGCAGGAAAGCAGGGGGUCGCGGGACCUUGCGCUUUCGGAGCGGCCGAUGUCGGAUUAGCUAGUUGGUGGGGUAAAGGCUUACCAAGGCGACGAUCCGUAGCUGGUCUUAGAGGAUGAUCAGCCACACUGGGACUGAGACACGGCCCAGACUCCUACGGGAGGCAGCAGUGGGGAAUUUUGGACAAUGGGGGCAACCCUGAUCCAGCCAUGCCGCGUGAGUGGAGAAGGCCUUCGGGUUGUAAAGCUCUUUCGGACGGGAAGAAAUCGCCAUCUCUAACAUAGGUGGUGGAUGACGGUACCGUCAUAAGAAGCACCGGCUAACUACGUGCCAGCAGCCGCAGUAA